ensembl:lncRNA
CCGGGUUCCUCCUGCUUAUACACGUGUUCCCGGGAGGAACCCGCAUGUGAAGCCGGCGUCACAGAGGGGCGAGCAGACGACCUGCGUGAUCGGACGGUCCUGCGACGAUGCGCCAGGCACAUCAGCAGCUGUGUGACCUCAGGGGAGCUGCUGGGGGUCUCUGAGCCCCACUCUCCCACCUGUGAUGUGGGUUGUUCCCGGCUCAGCCCUCCUCGGGAGGCGGUGCGGACGCCACCGUGAGAUUCGUGUCGGGUUGAGGCUGAGCGGCUAUGACGGGUCUCCUGCCGAGACCAGGAUGAGACACUGACCGGGUGAAGGACAGAGCGGCCGCACCUCCUCACCCUGUGGUCCCCGAGACUCCCGGCCGGUGCUCACACAAGGGAGGUCCACAGUGUAGGGGGGGCCCCAGGAGGGAGGAGGCGCCAGCCCAGAACAGGUCCUGCCAGCCCCCAGACGCUCUCUCGCUGGAAUCCGUCUUGGCUGAGAGAGUCACUCGCACACCAGGAGGGGCCCCGAGUCAGACUUGGGCACAAGCAAGACGCUGUCCAGAGGCCGCCUGGAAAACUGACCCCGCGGAGGCAACCUGAGCCGCCCCGACCGCACGAGAAGUCAAGGACCGAGGUCCCGCUUCCAGCCGCUCCGCCGCUGGAACCGGACGCCCGGAACCUCCCCCGGCGCGCAGUCGGCUUACUAAAGAGUCCAGUCCUCGGCGUCCAGUGCUUGCUGGGUGCUCAGCAAAUGCCGGACAAGGGAGUGUCCGAGCACGACUGCCCCCAAAACACAGUGAGAAUGGAGGUCACAUUCCUGAAGGGCAAGGCGGUGCAGUUCAGCGGCCAAGCGAGCCUCAGCAGUGGCUGCUUUGAUGAAAAGUGGUAGCUCUCGGGUUUCCUUGCUGAUCUCCGAGGUAAGAACAGCCCUGCUGAGCAAACCAUGGGGAACAGGCCAGAACCACAGAGGCCCGGCGACGCCACAGACCCCCAGCCCCCAGCACGUCUGCGGGAGUAACGUGGAAAAAGAACCAGACGUUCCAAUGGUAGUGGAGAAACAGGUUUUUGUUUUUUUUUAAAUUAGUAUUAUCACACAUCACUUGCUUCCAAAACAGAAUUUUUGGAUGCUUGCUCUGCCCCUUUCCAAACAUGUUGACAAUUUAAAACA